rnacentral:rRNA from 1 species
GUGGGGAAUCUUCCGCAAUGGACGAAAGUCUGACGGAGCAACGCCGCGUGAGUGAAGAAGGUUUUCGGAUCGUAAAGCUCUUUCGUUAGGGACGAACGUGCUCUUUGUGAAUAAUGAGGAGUAAUGACGGUACCUAAAUAAGAAGCCACGGCUAACUACGUGCCAGCAGCCGCGGUAAUACGUAGGUGGCAAGCGUUGUCCGGAAUUCUUUGGCGUAAAGCGCGCGCAGGCGGGAUAUCAAGUCUGUCUUAAAAGUGCGAGGCUCAACCUCGUGAGGGGACAGAAACUGGUAUUCUUGAGUGUCGGGAAGGAAAGUGGAAUUCCAAGUGUAGCGGGGAAAUGCGUAGAGAUUUGGAAGAACACCAGUGGCGAAGGCGACUUUCUGGACGAUGUCUGACGCUGAGGCGCGGAAGCUAGGGGAGCGAACGGGAUUAGAAACCCUGGUAGUCC